AUAUAAAAUGACUCUCGGCAACGGAUAUCUCGGCUCUUGCAUCGAUGAAGAACGUAGCGAAAUGCGAUACUUGGUGUGAAUUGCAGAAUCCCGUGAACCAUCGAGUCUUUGAACGCAAGUUGCGCCCAAAGCCAUUAGGCUGAGGGCACGCCUGCCUGGGUGUCACAC
rnacentral:rRNA from 2 species